rnacentral:lncRNA from 1 species
AGGCCGUCCUGUAGCCGGGCCGGCUUGGGGCUUGGUUCUAUGUCCCUGCGGGUCGGUGCAAGGGCGAAGAGGAACCCGUGGGCCUCAGGGGAUCCCGGGGGGCCGGACCAGUGUUCCCUAGUUGUGGGAGCAGACGCGUGGGCACAUUGCGGGCGGGCAGGGCCUGAAGUGCAGGUGCGGGCAGUGGACCCUGGCGGGGGCUGGGAGGACAGGCGUGGGGUCCCGGCAGUGAAACGGGUUCUAGAGGCGCAGGAGCAGGUAGGAGAGGCCGGUGGCCCUGGGCCCGGAGUCUGCAGGCCGCGCUCCUGUCCUGCCGCUGAGGGACCCGGUUACCAACCUGCAUGACGCUCAGUUUGCCCAUCUGUCCCAGUGGUAACACACAGUUCUCGGGAGACGUUCCCCAUUCCCAGAGGAGUAGUGUGAAACGCGUGCGCCUCUAGUCUUAAACUUGGCGUUUGUAUUAGUUGGGUUUCCUGGUGUCUCUUUAGCAAGUGAAGUUUCUGGUUCCCUCCUUCACUGUGUGACCUGCCUAGUCCUCCUGGGUCGCAUUUACAGAAGUUUAUACGAGACCUAGUUUCCAGGGAAGAACUCACUGAUUCCGCGAGGGAGAUGGCUUAAUGGAUGAUGGUCGUCAGCCUUAAGGAUACUUCAGUCUUAACUGUGUGUUACAAAGUUUGAAAGGGAGGGUUCCCUAUGAAUAAGAAGCACACUUGAAAGAACAGCCAUCUGGUCUAACCUCUCACUGGUGCUUCAGAGGAGGAAAAAAGGUCACAGCUAUGUUUCCAGUGUCCUCUGGGUGUUUCCAAGAGCAACAAGAAAUGAAUAAAUCUCUGUUGAAGAGAUACCAUUUGACAUUUUAGAGAUGGCUGCAUGCAAACUCUUGAAACAUUUGACUUGUCCAAAUGUUCCAUUGGUCCCUGUUCAUCCCGCCCUGCAGCUCUCCUUGACUGAUUCUGCCCUUUGUGGUUUGCAGUCCUGUUUCUCUACAGCUUGGACCCCUUCAAUCUUUCCAUCAUAGGUUUAACUCUCUGUUGAAUUCUUAUUUGUAGCUACGCAAAUGUUACCUUAAGCUAAAAAAAUUCAAAGUGAAAGCCACAUCCUCCUCUCUUCCCUUAUGUGUAUGGUAUUACUACCAUGCAGCCAGUGACCCAAAAUGGGAUUUUUUCUGGGCUUUUCUUGCUUAGAUUCAGGCUCAUCUGGUGUCAAGCCUUGUUACUUUUGUUUCCUUGUUCUUUUAUUUUUAAUUUUUUUUCUUUUGAGACAGAGUUUCACUCUUGUUGCCCAGG